rnacentral:lncRNA from 1 species
UGAUUAAUCUUUGGUUAACCUUCAUGGGUCCAAUACAUUUGCAUCAACAAGUCUCAUGAAGAGACAACAUAUAUCAUGAUGCAACCAAUUUCCAUGCCACAAAACCACAAACUAUAAUGCUGCUCAUAGUGGAAAUAUUUGCAACUGAAAACACAUAACCUUAUUCCUGGAUCAUACAUUACAUGAGUUACCUUCAUGAAAAAACAUUCAACACCUUUGGGCAAGAUGAAGCUUUCACAAACUCUUGAGAAAAAGAAUCCAUACUCUGCCAUCUUAAUUGAACCAAAAAUAACGAUCUACACCUUUGGGCAAGAAGACCAUCCCCUUGUUAUAAUUAAGAUGCAAGUUUGAUCAAGGAACUUUGACAUCACCGGUCCUAAUAUCAACUAAAACCAUUGCACUUUGCUUAGUUGAUGCAAGUGUGUGAUAACUUUGAUCAAAUUCAACCUGAAAUUAAAUAAAAAACAAGCACAUAGAGUGAAUAGUAGGUAUUUAAGUGUACAAAGCAAUGAUAUGUUUCAUUAUUUUGUAUUCUAAGUUCACCAAAUUCAGCACUUGAUCAGACAUGCUUUCCGAUGCUUCAAAGCCAGCACUUCGCAUGCUGCAAAGGCCAAACAAGUAGCACAGCGUAGACUAUAGACUAGAUAACUAGCCGUCACACCUAAACACACUUCGAAACAAAUUCUAUUUCCAGAAUGUUAUGAGAAGCACAAGGCAGCUGAAAUAGUAUGCAGUAAGUUCACCAAUAAUUGUUUUAAGUAAAAACAAUAAUAAGAACCCAACUCAGCAAGCAAAAAUUGAGUGUUACAAUUAAACAAAUGGAAGAGGUAAGACUCACUUUGAUAUUCAAUUAAUUUCAAUUUUCAACAUGCUUGAAAAUGAUCACAUCAUAUAUUAUCAAGUACAAAGAAUAAAAUAUCAUGUACGAUAUAGUGGUUUUGCUGGCUUUGGUUGUUGAGAUUCAUACAAAUUUCCUAAGUAUAAGAUUUUAUCAAAGUUGCCUACAUUUCAUCAUAGCACUCCAACUUCGUUUUCAAAUUCAAGUGCAUGCAACAAUGAUUUAGUUGUAUGUUAUCCAGCCUAACAAUUAGCUCCUAACAAUUAGCUUGAUGUGUUGGCACACUUGCUUACCAAUUAAAUCAAGCUCACAUUUCAUAUGCACAAUAAAAACAUAUUGCUUUACCACAUCACUGCUAGAGUGAGAUUCAGAAUAUAUGUAUACAAUCAUUGGUAGACAUAUUAAAAUAAGACAACAAAA